GGGACCGCAAUGGCUUCGACAGGGAUCUUGAGGCAUGAUAAGCGUAGCGCGCCGGAUAAUCGCGUCAAAAUGUCCAAACUUAAAAAUAAACGACAACAAUACUGUUGCUCUUGCAGCGUAAGCUGUGACGCGGUUAUAAUACCGCCCGUACCGCGGGAGAGGACUACGGCUCCCGCCGUGCGUCAAAUCAGUAGUGAACUUGCACCGAGAGUUCGCACUUGUAUCGGUCAAGCACAAAAGGGCUACCCGAGGCUGACGCCUGUCUCUCGGCUUCGCUAAGGGGAAUUAACAAAGAGUGACUGCCUACGGAGAAGGUUAUGUCAAGGGGUUUUUGGACACGGGUUCAAUUCCCGUCGGUUCCACCA
rnacentral:tmRNA from 1 species